CCUACGGGCGGCAGCAGUAGGGAAUUUUGCGCAAUGGGCGAAAGCCUGACGCAGCAACGCCGCGUGAUCGAGACGCCCUUCGGGGUGUAAAGAUCUGUCAGUGGGGGCGAAACUUGACGGUACCUACAGAGGAAGCACCGGCUAACUCCGUGCCAGCAGCCGCGGUAAUACGGGGGGUGCAAGCGUUGUCCGGAAUCAUUGGGCGGAAAGAGUGCGUAGGCGGCACGUAAAGUCUGGUGUUAAAGGCAGAGGCUCAACUUCUGUACGGCACUGGAUACUUGCGAGCUAGAGUGCGGUAGAGGUAAGGGGAAUGCCUGGUGUAGCGGUGAAAUGCUUAGAUAUCAGGAGGAACAUCGGUGGCGUAGGCGCUUUACUGGGCCGUAAUUGACGCUGAGGAACGAAAGCCAGGGUAGCAAAUGGGAUUAGAUACCCCAGUAGUC
rnacentral:rRNA from 1 species